UUUAAAACUCUAAUGCUGACUAAAGGAGAAAGUUCAGUUUAGGGUUUAAAACCCUAAUGCUGACUAAAGGAAAAGAGUUCAGUUUAAGGUUUAAAACCCUAAUGCUGACUGAAUGGAAAAAGUUCAGUUUAGGGUUUAAAACCCUAAUGCUGACUGAAUGGAAAAGAGUUCAGUUUAGGGUUUUAAAACCCUAAUGCUGACAAAAGGAAAAGAGUUCAGUUUAGGGUUUUAAAACCCUAAUGCUGACUGAAGGAAAAGAGUUCAGUUUAGGGUUUAAAACCCUAAUGCUGACUGAAUGGAAAAGAGUUCAGUUUAGGGUUUAAAACCCUAAUGCUGACUAAAGGAAAAGAGUUCAGUUUAGGGUUUUAAAAGCCUAAUGCUGACUAAAGGAAAAGAGUUCAGUUUAGGGUUUAAAACCCUAAUGCUGACUAAAGGAAAAGAGUUCAGUUUAGGGUUUUAAAACCCUAAUGCUGACUAAAGGAAAAGAGUUCAGUUUAGGGUUUAAAACCCUAAUGUUAACUAAAGGGAAAGAGUUCAGUUUAGGGUUUAAAACCCUAAUGCUGACUAAAAGGAAGAAGUUCAGUUUAGGGUUUAAAACCCUAAUGCUGACUACAGGGAAAGUUCAGUUUAGGGUUUAAAACCCUAAUGCUGACUAAAGGGGAAAGUUCAGUUUAGGG
rnacentral:lncRNA from 1 species